AAUAAAACCACCCUUGUCUUGUAUCUGUGACUAUUUAAUAGGUAGUGUGAAUAAAUCCUUUUUUUUAACCCUUGUACAACUACGCAUGAGUGGAUCAGAGCCCAAACCUAGCCAGCCGUGGUUGACUGAUCAAGGUAACAAUAAGAACACAUUCCACACACAAUACCUCUAGGAGCAUCUUCCAUGUACCCACACGCACACAAUACACAUCCCUGGUAUCUCCACUCUGGUAAGGUAGAUAUUUUGCAUAUUCAUGAGCUUUGGUUUAAAUAAGAAUGGGAAUGAAGUUAAGUUUGAAUGAGUGUGAGGAAAUGAGAUGGUAAUUAGUGGAAGGUUGCUGGAAUUUGAAGGGAAAGUGAGGUAGUUGUCUCCAUGAUUCUGAGCUGUGUACAUGUACAUGUAUUUGCGCCAUCACUCUGCUCUGCUGCAGCGAUUUUUUUAUACUUUAGGGUAAUUCAGACCCUAAGAUCUUUUUUCCAAGCAAUCUGGCUUGUGACAAUUGCAGUGCAGCCAACAUUGAAGAUUUCAGAGUGCUUUUCAAGCAAAUUUGUGCUUGAAUGUGUUUUUAACUUUGGCGUGAGGGAGACAAGUCAGCAACAUCGACCAGCAACCACGGCCUAAUCUGAUCCUACAAUUGACGAGGAUAGAUGCACGAAGGCGACGCCACAGGCACUGAAGUCAAGCCAGAGGGCUGAAGGCAGCUUACAGCAGCAGCAUUUCCAGUGUUUUUAACCGUGGAGUGGGUGGCGAGAACUACCAGGAAGAAGUCAGUUGUUUUUAUGCCUGCAUUUAUGUAAUUGUUUUUUAGAUAGUAUUGUAAUAGUGUAUUUUGAAUUU